rnacentral:rRNA from 2 species
GGACUACCCGGGUUUCUAAUCCUGUUUGAUCCCCACGCUUUCGUGCCUCAGCGUCAAUAAUAGUGUAGCGAGCUGCCUUCGCAAUCGGUGUUCUAUGUCAUAUCUAAGCAUUUCACCGCUACAUGACAUAUUCCGCUCACCUCCACUAUAUUCAAGACAGAUAGUAUCAACGGCAGUUUCUGGGUUAAGCCCAGAGAUUUCACCACUGACUUACCUGCCCGCCUACGCACCCUUUAAACCCAGUGAAUCCGGAUAACGCUUGCACCCUCCGUAUUACCGCGGCUGCUGGCAC